UACGUAGGGGGCAAGCGUUGUCCGGAAUCAUUGGGCGUAAAGCGCGUGUAGGCGGCUCGAUAAGUCCGCUGUGAAAGUCCAGGGCUCAACCCUGGAAUGCCGGUGGAAACUGUCGAGCUAGAGUCCGGAAGAGGCGAGUGGAAUUCCUGGUGUAGCGGUGAAAUGCGCAGAUAUCAGGAGGAACACCGGUGGCGAAGGCGGAUCUCUGGGCCUGUUCUGACGCUGAGGCGCGAAAGCUAGGGGAGCGAACAGG
rnacentral:rRNA from 1 species